UCCUAACCCUUUAGGUCCCUCUCUGUGGCCUGUCGCAGCCUAGGGUGACCCAGGUCUCUUCCCUUCCCUUCCUUCCUCGUAAAGAGGGCCUGGACCUGAGGGAGCAGAAAGGGGGGGGGGCUCCAAAUAGGAAGGACCAGAAGGAGCAGCUCUGGGGGGAGUCUCAAGGAGGGAGAAGAGAAUCUUAAGACUGCCUGCCAGACACCCCACACAGAGGAGGAGGUAGCCUGGUAGAGUGGGAUUUUACUUCCCCUCCGCAAGUGAUGCCAGUUGAGUGCCCGCCUAUUCCUUCAGCUGAGAUUCCCCCCUACCAGGCUGGCUGGUACCGACUGCAAGUUACUGUAAGUCCGGCAGGAAUGCCCACGAGGGUACUGUCUCUGGCCAGCAGAGUGCCCACUCUCUCCCAGGAUGUGGUUAGCCACUCUCGCAUCCCCCACACCCAGCAAGAGAAGAGUGGUGGAUCCUUCAGUGAGAUGGAAGAGUGUGUGAGGCUGGACUCGUCUGGAAAGGAUGCCAGCCUGCCUCUUCCACACCAAGAGCAAGCCAAGUGUUUGAAGUUGAGAUUGAGGAUCAGUGACUCGCCCAAGAUUACACACCUGUUUCUUCUUUAAAAGAACAUGGACCAGGUUCCCCAAGGGCUGAGCCAGGGCCAUUUAAGUGAUGUGCUCAGUUAUCUAAAAAAGCCUUUCUUCUACAUCAAGAACAGGAGUUGUCAUUUCAGGCCAUGAGGAAUCAUGGUGCCAAGCAGGAAACCAAGAGGCUACAGGAGUAUUUUAGGAAGAUUGAUUCGACAGCAGUGAGUGGGAUGGAUGGGAGAAAAGCGAGGCCAAAGCUGUGAGGACCAGUUAGGAGGUUCCUGCCACGAUGUCACCUUGAGACACCUCCAGGAGGACAGCAGAAGCAGAAAGGACAUUGAGAAGGAGAGAUCUCGUGAAGAGAAAGAAGCCAGAGAAAGAGGAAAAAUGCACGGCAGCUUUUGUCUGUUAGGUGUCCAGUAAAUUAGGUUGAGUGGAUGGAUGGAUGGAUGAGACUUAGGGAAACUGCACAUCCAGUCACCGCAUGGUCCUUCUUACAAGUCCUGAACAACUCUCCCGGCUCCCCGGUCCUUUAACCCAUCCACAAGAUCUCACGUUAUAAACGACGACGUUCCCAGCCAAGGAGGAAGAAAUAAGUGUGGCACUAGAGAGAAACUGGGAAGUAACUUGCUCUGUCGCAGAAAGGUGGAAAAAUGGAUGGAAUGGAAUCCCGUCCUCCCUGCCCGCCCCCGCCCCCCGCCCCAUACCUCUUCUCAUUUGCUGAAGCCCUGCUCUGAACUCAGUCAGGAUUUCUUCCCACCCGGCCUCCCGUGGGGUGGUCAAUAUGGCAUUUGUGGUUGGGCUUAGAAAGGUAAAGUACCUACAAAGGCCCAAGGAGCCAAGAAUUCUGCUGGCUCAGGCUCUCUUUCCUCUUGUUCUUUGCCCACCUGUCAAAGGAACUCUGCAGUGGGGCCCCUCUCAAGCCAGGGAGGGGAAAGGCCAAAGAAAGUGUUGGAGAUGGUCCAUAUAGGGCCGUGGCUUUGCUUACUGCUCAGGCUCAACCACCACUUAGCAGCUGAACCAAUAACUCUGGCCUGAAGGCUGCAUUGUGGUUUCAUCAUAGAGAACUCAUGGGCCUGUGUAUCCCGACCCUGGGUUCCGGUUCUAGCUGUCACUGAGUAUGCCCAGUAUAUAACACGACAUCUGUAGGUAAUAGGUGCUCACUAAAUAUCUGAUGGAGUGAGUGAAUGAAUGAAAUAAUUAGCUGUGACCUUGGACAGAUUACUUCUCCCUCUGGAUCUUGAUUUCUACAUCUGCAAAAGGGGCAUUAUAAUGCUGGCCCUACCUCUCACUCCAAGCCAUCCCCCAGACCUCAGGAGGAAAUGAAUGGAUGGAUGUUUAUGCACAGUAAGGUCUGGGCACACACCAGUAGCUGACAUUUGAGCCACUUCCCCUCAGGUCACAUUACUGCUUGCUCUGUGGUUAGGAUGGGCCCUAUCCUUAGGCUCCUGAAAGUCCUAACCCAUGGCAGAGUCCUAAUUUUUUUUUUUAAUUACUUGAUUUAUUUAUUUUUGGCUGCACUGGGUCUUCGUUGCUGCACGCGGGCUUUCUCUAGUUGUGGAGG